rnacentral:rRNA from 1 species
GUAGGCNGCAACUCGCCUACAUGAAGUCGGAAUCGCUAGUAAUCGCGGAUCAGCAUGCCGCGGUGAAUACGUUCCCGGGCCUUGUACACACCGCCCGUCACACCAUGAGAGUUUGUAACACCCAAAGCCGGUGGGGUAACCUUUUGGAGCCAGCCGUCUAAGGUGGGACAGAUGAUUGGGGUGAAGUCGUAACAAGGUAGC